CAGUCGCCACGGGAAUACGGAGGGGGCUAGCGUUGUUCGGAAUUACUGGGCGUAAAGCGCACGUAGGCGGCUUGGUAAGUUAGAGGUGAAAGCCUGGAGCUCAACUCCAGAAUUGCCUUUAAGACUGCCGAGCUAGCAGGUGAGAGAGGUAAGUGGAAUUCCGAGUGUAGAGGUGAAAUUCGUAGAUAUUCGGAAGAACACCAGUGGCGAAGGCGGCUUACUGGCUCAUACUGGACGCUGAGGUGCGAAAGCGUGGGGAGCAAACAGGAUUAGAUACCCCGGUAGUCCCUGUCUCUUAUAC
rnacentral:rRNA from 1 species